rnacentral:lncRNA from 1 species
CUUAAAUUGGUAAACUAACUAGAUAUUGUUGAAAUUCAAGAAAUGAUGGAAAUAAAGCACAAUUUUCUUUUAUCUAUUGAGAUUUAAUUGACAAAUAAAAAUGUUAUACAGUUAAGGUGUACAAUGCAAUACUUUAAUAUGUAAACACAUUGUGAAAUGAUUACCCAAAUCAAGAUAAUUAACAUAUCCAUCACAUCACAUAGUUAUUUUACAUACGUGUGUGAUGAUUAAUACUGAGCGUCAACUCGACUGGACUGAAGGAUGCAAAGUGUUGUUCCUGGGUGUGUCUGUGAGGGUGUUGCCAAAGAAGCUUAACAUUUAAGUCAGUGGACUGGGAAAGGCAGACUCACCCUCAAUCUGGGUGAGCACAAUCUAAUUAGCUUCCAGCAAGGCUAGAACAAAAGCAGACAGAAGAAACCCCUACAUCUUUCUCCCAUGCUGGGUGCUUCCUGCCCUCAACAUUGGACUCCACGUUCUUCAGCUUUGGGAUUCAAACUAGCUUCCUUGCUCCUCAGCUUGCCCAUCUAUCUAUUGUAAGAACUUGUGAUCAGAAGGGAAGAGUGCACCAAAAACAAGUUUCCAACAAGACCAGUGGCUUUUACAAUGCUUUAGAGAGAUCUACAAUUUCCUAUUGGCUCCAAGACUUCCAGUUUUCAGGGCACCAGUGACCCAAGGACUAGAAGAACAGACUGAGGAGCUUGGUGAGUACCAAGUUUAUCAUAAAAGCUGUCAUUUUGUUAUUGCAUCUGGAGGCAGAAGCCAAUUUUUUCGA